rnacentral:rRNA from 1 species
CCUACGGGUGGCAGCAGUGGGGAAUAUUGCACAAUGGUGGAAACCCUGAUGCAGCGACGCCGCGUGAGUGAAGAAGGAUUUCGGUAUGUAAAGCUCUAUCAGCAGGGACGAAAAUGGCGGUAGCUGAUUAAGAAGCCCCGGCUAACUACGGUCCAGCAGCCGCGGUAAUACGUAGGGGGCAAGCGUUAUCCGGAUUUACUGGGUGGAAAGGGAGCGUAGACGGCAGCACAAGUCUGGAGUGAAAUGCCCGGGCUUAACCCCGGAACUGCUUUGGAAACUGUUCAUCUAGAGUGCAGGAGAGGUAAGUGGAAUUCCUAGUGUAGCGGUGAAAUGCGUAGAUAUUAGGAGGAACACCAGUGGCGAAGGCGGCUUACUGGACUGUAACUGACGUUGAGGCUCGAAAGCGUGGGGAGCAAACAGGAUUAGAUACCCUUGUAGUC